rnacentral:rRNA from 1 species
AUUGAACGCUGGCGGCAUGCCUUACACAUGCAAGUCGAACGGUAGGGGGAGCAAUCCCCUGAGAGUGGCGAACGGGUGAGUAAAGCAUCGGAACGUGCCCAGUUGUGGGGGAUAACUACUCGAAGGAGUGGCUAAUACCGCAUACGACCUGAGGGUGAAAGCCGGGGACCGAAAGGCCUCGCGCAGUUGGAGCGGCCGAUGUCAGAUUAGCUAGUUGGGGGGGUAAAGGCCCACCAAGGCGACGAUCUGUAGCUGGUCUGAGAGGACGACCAGCCACACUGGGACUGAGACACGGCCCAGACUCCUACGGGAGGCAGCAGUGGGGAAUUUUGGACAAUGGGCGCAAGCCUGAUCCAGCCAUGCCGCGUGCAGGAAGAAGGCCUUCGGGUUGUAAACUGCUUUUGUCAGGGAAGAAAUCCCUUGGGUUAAUACCUCGGGGGGAUGACGGUACCUGAAGAAUAAGCACCGGCUAACUACGUGCCAGCCGCCGCCGUAACAC